UACGUAGGGUGCAAGCGUUAAUCGGAAUUACUGGGCGUAAAGCGUGCGCAGGCGGUUUUGUAAGUCUGUCGUGAAAUCCCCGGGCUUAACCUGGGAAUUGCGAUGGAGACUGCAAGGCUAGAAUCUGGCAGAGGGGGGUAGAAUUCCACGUGUAGCAGUGAAAUGCGUAGAGAUGUGGAGGAAUACCGAUGGCGAAGGCAGCCCCCUGGGAUAACACUGACGCUCAUGCACGAAAGCGUGGGGAGCAAACAGG
rnacentral:rRNA from 1 species